UAAAACGUAGGAGGCAAGCGUUAUCCGGAGUUACUGGGCGUAAAGCGCAUGUAGGCGGUUGAGCAAGUGGCGUGUGAAAGCUCCCGGCUAAACUGGGAGAGGACACGUCAGACUGCUCGGCUAGAGGGUGAUAGAGGGGCGCAGAAUUCGGGGUGUAGCGGUGAAAUGUGUAGAGAUCCCGAGGAAUACCAGUGGUGAAGACGGCGCCCUGGGUCACAACUGACGCUGAGAUGCGAAAGCGUGGGGAGCGAACGGGAUUAGAGACCCCGGUAGUCCACGCCGUAAACGAUGCGAACUAGGUGUUCACUGCCUUCGGGCAGGGAGUGCCGAAGCCAACGCGCUAAGUUCGCCGCCUGGGGAGUACGGUCGCAAGGCUA
rnacentral:rRNA from 1 species